rnacentral:rRNA from 1 species
GACGAACGCUGGCGGCGUGCUUAACACAUGCAAGUCGAACGAAGAGCGAUGGAAGCUUGCUUCUAUCAAUCUUAGUGGCGAACGGGUGAGUAACGCGUAAUCAACCUGCCCUUCAGAGGGGGACAACAGUUGGAAACGAAUGCUAAUACCGCAUACGAUCUAAUCUCGGCAUCGAGGAUAGAUGAAAGGUGGCCUCUACAUGUAAGCUAUCACUGAAGGAGGGGAUUGUGUCUGCUUAGCUAGUUGGAGGGGUAACGGCCCACCAAGGCGACGAUCAGUAGCCGGUCUGAGAGGAUGAACGGCCACAUUGGGACUGAGACACGGCCCAGACUCCUACGGGAGGCAGCAGUGGGGAAUCUUCCGCAAUGGACGAAAGUCUGACGGAGCAACGCCGCGUGAGUGAUGACGGCCUUCGGGUUGUAAAGCUCUGUUAAUCGGGACGAAAGGCUUUCUUGCGAAUAGUGAGAAGGAUUGACGGUACCGGAAUAGAAAGCCACGGCUAACUACGUG